GUUGAAAUGUGGUUUAUUAAAUGUCCAGUCAGUUGGAAACAAGACAAUAGAAAUCAGAACUUUAAUUAAUGAUGAGAAUCUGGAUAUUCUUGCUUUGAUUGAAACAUGGCUGAGUGAAUAUGAUACUGUGAAAACUAGAGAAAUGACCCGACACUCAUACAUUUGUGCACAUACCAAGGAAGACGAUGCAGACCCAUACAGACUACAUGAGCCAAGAAAUAACCUUGAUAUGGGAUGUCGAGUAUUUGCAAGAUGCACACCAAGGAUUUACAAUAAACUGCCAAGUGAUAUUAAAGGUUGUACCAUGAUCAAUAUCUUCAAAUAGAAAUUGAAGACAUAUUUGUUCAAGGGAGUUUAUGAUUUUAACGGCAUGGAAAUCAAAGACAAUUAUAGAUGCUAGUUGCUUUUGAGGGAGGCUCUGCUGAGCGCUGCCUCGCAGUGGAGCGGAACCUUGAACAAACACCCCAAGUAACAACUGGAGACAGUCAUACCUGGAAAGUGGUGAGAAAACUGGCUGCUGAAGCAAAGCACAAGAGUAGGCACCGCUGAAAAAAAUUACUGCAGCCAAAGGAAAGGAGGAGAACCAUGGAGCCACCACACUGAAGAUAAAGCACUCCACAAUGUGCAUCUCCCCGGACAAGUGCCCUGCCAUCUGUGUCAGCCAGCAGCAGUUGGACAAGACAGAAGAAUUACCCUGUAACUCCAACAAUCAGAGCAGGCAAGUAGGCACAAGUAGUCUAGGAGGCCCAGUCAUCAACCUCUGCUUGAAAUGUGAUACAUUAUAAAGUAAAACAUGCUCUAUAAGAAAAAUAUUCAUUUGUAAAAACAAUUUUUAAAAAUACAAUAAUUUUUCACAUUAUGUAAAUGUGUCUGCUGCUUGUUACUAACGACAGGGAGCCAUGUUACAUUGCCAGUUCAACUCAUCAUCAAUUCCUGUAUUUUUUUCUGCCAUGAACUGCCUUGUUGUGUCAUUAAUGGAGUCAAUGUGAUGUGCUGCACAGCUUGUCAGUCACUAUCUCAUACUGUGAGAGAAAACUUUAAGUGGAUCUUAUUUUAGUAUGGGUAACCACCCAUACUAAAUUAAGAUCCACCUGUCAACCUCUCCCACCUCCAUACCACAGACACACAGUAGGAUUACAAACCAUGGUCACUUGUCACAUCUUCAUACCAAUAAUUUUUACUCUUCUUACCUUCCAACAAUUCACAAACUAAUCACUCAUCUUCACACCAAUAAUUUUUCUCUCAUAAUUGUUGCCAGGAUAUGUUUUUUCAUCAGGCUCCACCAUUGAGAGGUUCUGGCUGGUGCUACCUUGAGUGUGAUUGAGGUAUAUGCAUCAGCAGGUCACUGGAGAUUGUUGUUCAAGGCUAAUGGUGGAAACCUUAAUGAGGGAAUGUUACACUUUAAAAAGUCUGACAAUAAGUCAGCUAGGAAAUGUCCCUCACACCAUGUUUACAAAUAACUUGUUGCUUCCUCACCCCCCCCCCCUACACACUCACUCUCUCUCUCUCUCUCUCUCUCUCUCUCUCUCUCUCUCACAC
rnacentral:lncRNA from 1 species